CUUGAAAUCCCAUUACGUGGCUCGAAAUCCCAUUACCAUGACCCAAAAUCCCAUUACGUGGCUCAAAAUCCCAUUACGUAGACCCAAAAUCCCAUUAUGUGGCUCGAAAUCCCAUUACGUGUCUCGAAAUCCCAAUAACGUACCCCAAAUCCCAUUACGUAGACCCGAAAUCCCAUUAACGUGGCUCGAAAUCCCAUUACGUAGACCCAAAAUCCCAUUACGUGGCCAUGGGAAGCGACCACUGCCCCAUCACGCUCUACCUGGCCCUAUAGGGGCCUAGAGGGGGCGAUCCCAGCCAAAAUCCCAUUAGCGGGACUCGAAAUCCCAUUACGUAGACCCAAAAUCCCAUUACGUGGCUCGAAAUCCCAUUACUGACCCCAAAACCCCAAUAAAGUGCCCCAAAACCCCAUUCUGUGGCUCGAAAUCCCAUUAAUGGACCCCAAAUCCCAAUAAAGUGCCCCAAAACCCCAUUAUGUGACUCAAAACCCCAUUAAAGUGACCCCAAAACCCCAAUAAAGUGCCCCAAAACCCCAUUCUGUGGCUCAAAACCCCAUUAAAGUGACCCCAAAUCCCAUUAAUGGACCCAAAAUCCCAUUAAAGUGACCCCAAAUCCCAUUGAAUGACCCCAAAUCCCAUUGAAGUGACCCCAAAUCCCAUUAAUGGUCCCCAAAUCCCAUUGAAGUGACCCCAAAUCCCAUUGAAGUGACCCCAAAUCCCAUUAAUGGUCCCCAAAUCCCAUUGAAGUGACCCAA
ensembl:lncRNA